rnacentral:lncRNA from 1 species
AGGUAUCAAUAUCAUCGUUUUCUUUGCUUCUUUGUUCCUUGGUUUCUUCAUACAUGCGAUGAAAGUCGAACAGAAGAAAUUGAUCAUGGAAUAUUACUCAUCAUUUGGAAAUAACCCAGUGCAGCCAUUCAAGGUGUUACAUGGAGGGGUGUCAGCUCUAGUAUCUGAGGCUCUGGCUAGCAUAGGAGCUCACCUGGCUUCUGGUUUACAAAGGGUGGCUGGAAUUCACCUCAGCAUCAACCACAUGAAGCGAGCUGAGCUCGGUGAUCUUAUCUAUGGGGAAGCCGUACCCAUCAGCGUUGGCAAAACCAUUCAGGUUCAUCUUCCACAUUCAUACCCUCUAGUAAUUAGUACUUGAUUUUCCACAUUUACAACUAAUGACUUGUAAUGGUAGUUGACUAAUUGCUCAUACAACCAGUAAGUUUAAGUUGAAGAAACAGAUGACAUUAUAAAUCUGCAUAUAUAAUACUGGUUUUGCAUUAUCAAUAACAUUAUCCAUUUGAGGCAAAACAUAAUGUGUGGACUCCAGUUCACAUGCCAAUUUCCCAGCAUUAUAAGAAUCUAUUGGCACCAUCCUGUCUUUCUGGAACUAUGGAAAUGUGAAUGCCAAAACGAAAUGAUCCAAGAAUGGGGGUUCCCUCCACUUUGGGGAUUAAUGUACUUAAGUACCAAUAAUUUAUCAAUGACUUCUAUAAUCACAUCCCACAAACAGAUUACACGAUUCUGAAUUCUACUGAUAUGGUAAUUUUGAUUAGGUUUGGGAAGUGCGACUUUCAAAGAUUGAUCCUUCGAACUCAGACAUCAAAUCCCUUGUAUCAUCAGCAAGAGUCACUCUUCUGUGCAACAUGCCUGUACCACAACAUGCAAAAGAUGCAGGUGAAGCCCUCAAGAAGUAUGCCAAAUUAUAGAACUCUUGUAUCCCUGUUUAUGUUUCUACAAUUGUCACUGAACCUAAUGAAGAAACUAAAGAAUCUAUUACAAGCAUAUAAACCUCUAUUUCAGUGUUGCAUUCGCAGACAAGUGUGAGCGUCAAACAAGCAUGAAGUACGCAUCUUUUUUGUUUGUUGUUGCUGUCUUUCCUUUUUCAAGAUAUGAACAAAACAGAAGGGAGUGCCUAGACCUGGCUCUGGUAUCUGAAUAUAUUUAGGGAUGAAAUGCAUUAGUGCAUUACCUUGAUGAUCGGAACACCUACUAGGCAGUUUCAGUUUUCUAUCAAAGAAUCAGUUAAAGGAAAAUCUUCCAUGAUUAUCCCAAUCCAAAGCUACAAUCAUUGACAUGAUAAAGUGCACUAGUUCUAACUGUUUAUGAAUCAAUAUUAUCCCCACACUAAAGAGAUCAACUUUAUCACUCCAAUCAUCGUCCCCAACAACUAAAGUUGUAACUUCAUAAAUCAUACUAGCUGAACGGGCCCUAGUUGACAUUGUUGUUGAAAUCGAACUUGAGUAACUGACUAAGAAACCAUUAAUACAGAGCAUACUGCAUGCCGACACUAAGCUGGAGUGAAGUUACUAACUUUGCACCUUAAUUCUACAUGUGUACAAAUCGAUUCGACAGCAAACUGUCACUUUGAAUUCUUCCCCGAGCCAGUUGCAGAAAUCAUUUGCCUUUAAAACACAUAGUAUCAAAUUAGUAUGAGCAAAAGGGUCUGCUAUGCAAACAGAAUUGGGAAAGCAAAUCAUGCUAGUACCUGAUACUAGUAAGCUGUUUUGUUAAAUCAUUGACCUCAAGGCCAGAGAGUUUCAAAGAAAGCAGAGUUCCAGGUACCUCCUGGGAGACUACAUGGGAUAGCUUCUCCAUUGAAGUUGCCAAUUUUCUCAAAGCCUGAAUUCCCAUUAAACUUGAUUGGUAUAUGCAAUGAUCCAAUGACCUUAUUGCUCAAUGCUCAAAGAAAACGUAACUUACAUUGAUAGUUGGAAUGGAAAAUAUAGCAAGGGAGAGAAGCGCAGCAAAAGCCUAGAAAUUACAGACAGUGAAACGUUAAUCAGAAGUUACUAAUAAUUGUGUGUUUGGUCAUUGUGAUGUAAAUGGAGGAUUGAGUUUACCGUGGAGAGGACGAAGAGCAGUGAGGCAAGGCCCAAUUCGGGAGAAGGUCGAAUCCGCAGGGUUCUGACGGGUUGUACGGACGGAGCAGUUUCAGAGGAAGAAGAAGAAGAAGAAGAAAGCAGAGGUUGUGUUUGGGAGGGUGGGAUAUCGAUAUUUGAUAGUUGCAACUUCGAUAGAGAUGGAUUAUUCAAUUUUCGUGACACGACGGAGGAAGCUUUCCGGCUGCCGGGGAAAGGGAUUGCCGGUUUUAACGGGACGGCCACCGGAACCAUUUGACCCCACAUGAUGUAUCAACUGUAGGCCUGAAGCUCUAUUAUCGUCGAGGACCAAAGUGAGCGACGUUUUGUUUGAGAAAUUUUUCUCUGCUACCGGAGGGCCAUGUCAGCAUAUCUAAUGGUUCUUCUUAACCAAUAUAAAGUCGACACAUCGUUAUUUUUAAAACAACCCCCCAUAUCAAGAUAUAUCUAAUCAUUAAUUUAACAUUUAAGAUACUUUCAUAUAUUGUUAUUAUUUCUUAAACCNNNNNNNNNNNNNNNNNNNNCAAAUAUUUGUAUACUCAUAAUGAUGACGAUGAGGCGGUGAAGAAAUAAAUAAAAAUGGUCAUGAGUAUCAAAUAUUUGAACAAAAGCACAAGUUCAUUCGUGAUUCAGAAUACAUAGCAAUAUUGAGUGAAUUCAAGAUUACUGGUGAAUGGCAUCGGUGCCAAACUCAAGUACGCAAGCUAGCAUAGUAAUCUAGAGUAAAUUCAUUGGUUAUGGAAUAUGGAUUAUACAAUUGAGCAACUAUUGUUAUGGAUUUGCAUGACUCAAUGAUCUUUUUUUUUAUGAACAAGAGGAGUGGAUUUAUUGGAAGAGAACUCGGUGUUUUUUUCUUUUUGAUGAAGAGGAUUUGGACAUUUGGUAUUUUGGUUUAAGAAAUAAUAACAAUAUAUGAAGGUAUCUUAAGUGUUAAAUUAAUAACUAGAUAUAUCUUGAUAUGGAUUGUUUUAAAAAUAACCAUGUGUCGACUUUAUGUUGGUCAAGGAGGACCACUGGAUAGCACAGAAAAAUUUCUCGUUUUGUUUUCAGAAAAUGGCAACGAAAAUUUCUCAAUAAAAAAAAUAAUCUUAAAAUGGAGCUUUUGUUCGUACCUCCUAAAUUAGUACUUGCAUUUUUUAUUCUUAUAUAUACACAAAACUUUUAACAUUACCCUUUUAUCCAUACUAUUUUUUCCUUUUACAUAUCCUUAGAACCCAGACUCGUAUCCAUGACAACAUAAAUCGUCUUCUAAAGUUUAUAACAACAUAAAUCGUCUUUUAUGACCAUUUUUUAAAGAUUUCAUGCUAGCAUUUAACGUCCAAUUUGGAUGAAAUUUUAGCAAUUGAGAUUGAUAUAUGAAAAUUAAAAACUUUAGGAAUAAAUUUUCAGAAUUAAGAGUAUAUGGACUGAAAUGAUGUUAACCCCAAACCUUAGAGGGGUAAACUGAAAUUAAUCCUAGAAAUAAUACUGAACCAGUCCUGCAAAGGCUUCUAUUUUGCUCUUAGUGCACAUGUUAAAAUAUUAUUCAGAAAAUCUCGGUUGGGCAACCUACUACUUGGCUCAGUGCCUGGCUUUGGCAACUUCUACUCAUGAACUGGUGUCGAACACCUUGCAGAACCCUACAAGAACCCUACAGACUGCACAUUUUCAUAACAAUGCAUGUCACAUCCCGAAUUUUGAAAACAUAAUUUUUAAAAAUUUGGACAUAAAAAUUCCCAAAAAUAUACCGAAAACGCUGUCAUUAAUUCCAAAAACCAAACUCAAUGACUGGAAAUAUAAAUGUCAAUAUAAGCUUAACACGAAGUUAAACAUUAGAUAUCUAUAUUUACAUUAAACUUGAAAUGUCAAGUAAAAUGAAACGCUCACUAAGAGCUUAAUACAAUCCGAAAAUUAAUAAUAAACAAAAAGUCUAACUCCUAGGAAGCAGCUACUAAGCUUCUAGAUCCCAACUUUGUAUUGUCCUCACUUGCAAGAUCAAACCCCUACACCAUGGAAUGGUGCACCGGGUUGAAAGAACAAACCCAAUAAGCUUUUGCAAGCCUAUAUGAGUAACCUUAAAUUCUACAUGCACUCUUAACUAACUACAACUAGAAACCUUGCAUUGGUCCAAUCCAGUGAAAGGCACAUAAACAAUCAUUGUAAUCAAUGCAUAUGAAUUAAAUCAUAAAAUUACUUUAAACAAACAAUUGAAAGUAUAAUAAUUAGUUCAGGUGAGUACAUUGAGAUCAAACAAAUAUGAAAAUAGUGAUCACUGCUUAGUUCAAGAGAUCACAAGAAACACUAAGAUAUUCAAAUUAGAAUAACAAUAAUUCAAUACGAAACACAUCAUUAACAAAAUACCAUUAGCAAUACCGAUCGCUUGACUACAAAUCUCAACAUCAAUCCACAACAACUACACAAAAUCAUCACACGUAUCAUCACACAAAUCAUCUACAUAGAUUCAUCACACAUAUCAUCUACACAUAUUCAUCACACAGAUCAUCACACCACACAAGUUCAUCACACAAAUCACCACACAGGUUCAUCACUCAGAUCACCACACAGGUCGUCCCACAUAUCACCACACAGGUCGUCACCAAACACCGAUUACUUUUCUCUAAAUAAACUCAAGGUCUUGAUCACAAACCUUUCCAAAUUACGUGUUCUAAUAACCCACCGAUCCUCAACAAAUGACACACACUUCAAUCAAGCCCCUAGCCAAGUAUACUCCCCAAAUCAUUUCUUUAAACGAUCAAUACAUUAUACGACAAAAGUGGACAUAACACAUAAUUUCACCAAGCACAUAUACUUCCAUGAACAUAUAUAAAUGCCACUAAUAUCAAAUAUAGCUACAAUCGGGAAAGGCUCAAGAAAGCUGAUAUAUAUUAAAAGAACCAUUUUACUUACUCGUGAACCGUGAACGAUUAAGUUCACUUUCGAGAGCACAAUUCCACAAUUUAGUAAAUCAACACAAUAUGUAAGAAAGUCGGUUCCUACUUGAACCUUAGGAAGGUUACUCACCUUGAACUCCUGUUGCUUCUUCUAUUGCCACACGUAAAGCACAAGCACGCUCCCGUCAACACCUAAGUAGUGAAAUCGUUAUCUUAGUAACAAUUGAACUAAUGUAAGUUUCAUACUCAGGCCGAAACUCUAAUCUUAGCCCAAGGUCUUGUCACUCGGGACAAUACUUCAUCUGAGACCUCCUAAGAUCACCGGAACGUCCGACAUAACCUGUAGGACAACUAAUAAUGAUUCUACUGUUCGGAUGCACUCUAAUUUAAAACCAGAACUAGGCUAACACUGAGGGGGAAACCCUAUCAUGCUCAUUCAACAUCUGAAUCAUACAAUCUAUACACCCGCACGCUCAUAUCGAUGAGUACAUGAUGAUGGGACAGACUACUACCCCAAGUGAAGCUGUAUGCGCCGCCACACGCCACCACACACGGCUGCACGUGGGCCCCAUGCGCCACCCUACUACCUGUAAAUUGGCACAACCCAUUACACCCAACUUGUACAUCAAGGCAAAGAGAGCAACUUUCGUACCUGGAGUGACCUCUAAUUCAGCCGGAGUACGCCGAAAACUCACUUGAAAGUUUGAAACCCAACUCUGCAACACCAAGCUUCGAAUCGAGCUUCAAGACUACCAGUAGUCGAACCAAGACGCAAAAGAGCUUCUAUCCUGACCGGUUUCAAGCCUCAACACUGCCGCCAGUUGUGGAAAUUCUGAUCGAGUUGAAAACCGGGUCGCCACCCUCACUAUGGUGCUCGAUUUGCACAGAUCAGCUCGAGUCGUCCUCACUCACCAACACAGGGAGGAUUGCGUCGAGGAGAGGAAAAUUUUUUGACCGGUGCCGCCUUCUGAGUCGACCGGAAAAACCGGGUCGGGUCGGGUCGGAAAGAAUUCUCAGAUAGUGAGGGAGAGGUGCGAGAGAGAAAAGAAGAAGAGAAAAGUGUGUCGUGCAAAAUAAGGGAAACCCACUUUCCUAUUUAUACCCAAGUUUCCACAAAGCCACGAACUUCCGUUGACCAUAACUGUUCGUACGAUGUCCGUUUUAUACGUGCCACGUGUCUACGAACUUGUAUCAUUGUGCUUUAUAACUUUCAUGAAUGAAGUUUCUCGAGAAACCCAACAAAUAAAAAGUUAACUCUAUGACCCUUAAAUUAAAACAUUUUCGGGUAAUUUAUGCGUUCGAACACUUCCGUUCUUCCUUCGAACCUCAAAAACACACUAACUUCUAACUCAAAAAUUCUCAAAUAAUAUUAGAAACUAAUAUCGAAUUUCCGGGUAUUACAAUGCAUAGACCUCAAAAUCAAGAGUCAGGGGCACCUUCAUCUUUACAUGGAGGCGAACAUCCAAGGCAACGAAUCAGCUCAUGCAGACGGUAGAACACCUUUCUUCAAAGUGUAUACUGAACACUGAAUCCAAUGAAGUAAGCAAGUAUAAAACAAGAAUUUUAAGAACAGAUUAAAACUAUUAAGAAUCUAUGCAUAUAUGUCAUCCAGUCUGAAGUAUCUUACUUCUUGUUCCCUUGAUACUUGUUUUCCAAACUACAUAAACUGCUGCAGAAUUAUAAAUUUUCAUUUGGUUAUUGCCAUUUAGAUGAAGUAUACCGAAUCAACUCUUCUCUACCACCCAAACAAAAGCAGACCAAAGUAAAACACCAACUACAAGAAAAAGAAGGAGAGCUCCCUUCCACGAUGGGAUACACAUAUAUACGAACAUAGGCUGAUGUGAAAUCCACACACAGAAUCAGUCACCUCAUCACCACCACCUACCACCGCCCAACAUCGUAGAAUGAAUCGACUAAAAUGCCCUUCCAUUAACAGGACCACCUCCAAUCAAACGACACGAUUCCCACCACCAACCAAGAAAAUACCAGAUGAUGAAGUGAUGAUAUCAUAUUAAAUCACCAAACGCAGAAGAGUAUAAGGAGAGGCAUCUCACCAACUCCCACAUUGGAAAACCCACAAAAACGUAGAAUUGAGUUGGCAUUGUUUGGUUUGUUAACUUUGUAUCGAUCAUCUAUAUACAUAAAGGAAAAUAAGCCGAAACAAGAAGAAGGAAUAAAGAACACGUACAUACCAUUGCUUCUCAGAAGUCAGAACAAACAACCUGGUAAUCUGACAUAGUCAUGGCUCUCCAGUCUCAUCCCCAACCGCCACCACCGUCAUCGGAGGACAAGACGGAGGCUCUAGAUCCUCUGCUUCAUGCAUUCGGGUUCAAGGUUGAAGAAGUGACACCACAUAAGAUCUGUGGUCACCUCAGAGUCACCGAAAAGAGCUGCCAGGUAUCAUCUAUUUCUUUGUUUCUUCAAACAUGAAUUCUUUCAUGAUGAAAGUCGAUCAAAGAGAAGAAAUUAAUCAUGGAAUAUAUUACUAACAAUUUGCAAAUAACUGCAUGUGAUCAGCCAUUCAAGGUGUUACAUGGAGGUGUCUCAGCUCUGAUAUCCGAGUCUCUGGCAAGCAUGGGAGCUCACCUGGCUUCUGGUUUACAAAGGGUGGCUGGAAUUCACCUCAGCAUCAAUC